UAUGCUUUGGGGAGCUGUAAGUAAGCUUUGAUCCAGAGAUUUCCGAAUGGGGAAACCCAGCACGAGUUAUGUCGUGUUAUCUGCAUGUGAAUACAUAGCAUGCAAGAAGGCAGACCCGGAGAACUGAAACAUCUUAGUACCCGGAGGAAGAGAAAGAAAAAUCGAUUCCCUGAGUAGCGGCGAGCGAAACGGGAAGAGCCCAAACCAAUAAGCUUGCUUAUUGGGGUUGUAGGACACUCUGUACGGAGUUACAAAAGAAUUUGUUAGACGAAUAACCUGGAAAGGUUAAUCAGAGAAGGUAAUAAUCCUGUAGUCGAAAACGAAUUCUCUCUUGAGUGGAUCCUGAGUACGACGGAGCACGUGAAAUUCCGUCGGAAUCUGGGAGGACCAUCUCCUAAGGCUAAAUACUCUCUAGUGACCGAUAGUGAACCAGUACCGUGAGGGAAAGGUGAAAAGUACCCCGGAAGGGGAGUGAAAGAGAACUUGAAACCGUGUGCUUACAAGUAGUCAGAGCCCGUUAAUGGGUGAUGGCGUGCCUUUUGUAGAAUGAACCGGCGAGUUACGAUCUGAUGCAAGGUUAAGCAGAAAAUGUGGAGCCGUAGCGAAAGCGAGUCUGAAUAGGGCGAAUGAGUAUUUGGUCGUAGACCCGAAACCAGGUGAUCUACCCUUGGUCAGGUUGAAGUUCAGGUAACACUGAAUGGAGGACCGAACCGACUUACGUUGAAAAGUGAGCGGAUGAACUGAGGGUAGCGGAGAAAUUCCAAUCGAACUUGGAGAUAGCUGGUUCUCUCCG
rnacentral:rRNA from 1 species